GAAGGAAGGAAGGAAGGAAUUAAUUUUAUCAGGAGAGAGUGGAGCCGAUGACUUUACACAGUUUUCGCCUCACUUAAAUCCAAUUUACUUGCGAAUCAAAACAUCAUCCUUUUGAUGUUAUUGUUGCUUUUCAAGAACAAAGGAUAAACAAUAGCAGCAGCAGCAUUCUUUUUGUAUUGGAACAGAUAUUCUGUAUCCUACCUGCUUCAUAGUAGGUGUUAAAUAUCUUUUACUUUCGUUUUGAGGAAACCAGAUAUGGGCCAUAACUUUUGCAAAUAGCAUUGUCUAUGGGACAUACAGAUUGGAAUUUGUUAUUGAUGCAGUGAGUGUGGGGGUAGAGAGAGAGCUUAACCUCUUAAUGAAAGAUUAGAGUCCCAUAACAAUGAAGCAAUUUCACAAACCAAAAAAAGCUAGGCACUGAACUAGGAGUGAGCUGUCAAUCCCUCUACUCACAGCAACAGUAUCUCUAUUCUAAAUACUGUUUUGGAAAAUGAAGCCUAGGAAGUUGAAAUUUCAUCACAUAGAUAGGAAACAUAAAAAGGAAUAUUUAAAAUUAAAUCUUCUGACUCCAGUCAGUGUUCUUUCCAGGAUAACAUACUUGAAAAAUGAUCUAAUUUGUCACAAUAAUUUUUGCUGUUACAAAUAAUGCAAUUAUAAAUAUUUUUGCAUAAAUAAAUCUUUUCAAUAAUAUCCUUAGAGCAUAAACCAAAGAGAAAUGGAUGGAUCAAAUGGUAUGAACUUUUUGGGGGAGAUAGUUAUGGAAUAAUUAUGUUUUUAUGCCUUCUCUUAUAUUUCCCAACCAGUUUGAAAAAUUGACAGGUUCACAUACAAAAGAUUAACUUAAUAAUUUAUUUCUCUAAAGCCUUGCUAAAAUUGAGCUUUUCCAUCUUUUCCAAUUUGUUCAGUAGAAGAUGAUACCUCAGAGUUUAAUUUACCCUACUUUGUUAGCAAUUUUGCUUUUUUUUUUUUUUUUUUGAUGGCUGUUGACAAUGUGUGUUUCUUCUUUAGAAAAGUGAUUAUUCUUGUUCUUUGACAACUUAUCUACUGGAGAACAGCUCUUACUCUUGUAAAAAAAAAUUUGUAUAAAUUUUUUAUACUUUCUUGAUUCUAGACUUUUGUAAUAUUUGAUAUAAAAUUCUAACCCAACUUCACACUCUAUAUGGGCAAUCUAUAAUCAAAAUGUUAAUUGUUAAAUUUGGGGGUUUUUUCCACUAAUAAAAAUUUGGGCAUAAGUAAAGGUGGAAAAAAUGUAAGUAUGACUCAAGAGUAAAGAAUGAGAGGCCAAAGACUGGACUAGAUACACAAAAAAUUAAUAUUCGUAUAUUAUGAAUAUUUUCUUGUUUAAGAUGGGAAAGUGAAAAAUCAGAGAGGAACUCAACUCUCCAACGUAAACCUAAGCAACUAUCUGAAAAGGAUCUAGAUAAAACAAGAUAAAUAAAAGAAUCAAGUUCUUUUCUCCAAUCCAAAAAUGCACAAAAAUAUUAACAUAAUUGGGGGAAGGAGAGAGAUGGACAGGGUAAGACAGUCAACAAGUAUUUAUUAAAUGCUUAUUAUAUGACAGGCAUUAUGCUAAGCAUUGGGGAUACAAAGAAAUUUGUGGGGGGUUUCAACAGCCUCUGCCCUCAAAGAGGUAAUUUAACAAAGGGGGAAAAUGUGAAUAAUUAGGUACAUACAAGCAUACACAAAAUAGAUUUUUUAAAAAUCUGAAAAAGGGAAAACAUGAUAAGCUAUAGUAUACAGGAAAGAUUUCCUGCAGAAAAUGGGAUUUGAGCUGAUUCUUAAAAUCCAGAAAAUAUAAGAGAACAUAUUGGGACAGAAUAUUCCUAGAAUGAUGACAAACCAGUGUUUCAAGGUAUGGAGGCAGGAGACCUGUUAUCCUUAAGGAUAUCCCGAGGCAUAUUAUCCUUUUAGAAUUGCAAGUAGACAAAUAUAGUUGGACUGCAGAGUACAUAGAAAAAAGUAAAGUAUAAGAAGGAUGAAAAACUAGGAAUAGGAUAGGUUAGGAAGAGCUUUGAAUGUCAGAAGAUUUCAAAUUUGAUUCUCACUGUGAUAUUGAUUCUCAUUGUGAUAGGUAGGCACUAGACAGAUUCAUCUCCAGGCCAAACCUACACUUUAGGAAAAAAUACAAAACAAAAUUCUUUGACAACUGAAUGGGAGAAAGCUAGAGUAGGGAUAAACUUGAGACAAGAACAUCAAUUAGAAGGUUAUUUUAGUGGUUUCAGAAGUGAGAUGAUGAAGGCCUAAAUUAGAGGUUUAGCAAUAUAAGUGGCCAUAAAAUUAUUAAACUGAUUUUCCUAAAGUGGAAGAAUGACCAUAUCAACCCCCAGUCAGCAAACUCCAGUGGCUCCCUAUUACCUCAAGGACUUAAUUUAAAAUCAUUGUUUUGACAUUUAAAGUAGUCCAUAAUCUGGAUCCUUCCUACAUUAUCCCAGUCUUCUUAGAUCUUAUUCUUUGCCAUUCUUUGAACAUGAUAUUCAAUCACCAAACUCCAUCUAUUUUCACUGAUUAUUCCCCAUUCCUGGAAUUCUCUCUUUCCUCAUCUCUAUCUAGCUUUGCUGGUUUUCUUCAAAGCUCAGCUAAAGUCCCACCUUCUGCCAGAAGACUUUUAAAUUUUUCUUUAAAUUUUAGUUCCUAUGUAAUCCUGAAAUUAUUUUCAAUUUAUCCUAUAUGUAUUUCGUUUAUACAGAGUUGUUUUCCUGUUGUCUUCCCCAUUAGACUUUGAGCUUUUUGAGAGCAGAGACUAUGUUUUGACUUUUUUUUUCUUCCAGCAUUAAACACAGUACUUGGCACAAAAUAGGCACUUAAUACUAGUUGACAGACUGAGGGCCAAUAGUUGCAAAAUUAAAGACAGGUCUUAGAUCAGGCCUGACAGUAAAACUGAAAGACAAAGCCACUCUUCACAGGUUACUAACCAGGGAUACAAGACCUGGUUGUGUAUUCUUUGGGUUACUGAGAGCCACAAGAUACAGAACCAACUCUGUGCCCAGGGAUUCAAUAUGAGGGUCCUUAUAAGAGACCCAAGACUAUUAUGAGCUCUAAUACCUGACUAGGGCAUGUCACAUAUGGAAUCAACUCCCGAUUGGUUAUUAUGGAAGGAGAGGAGAUAAUGAAGACCAGAGUCUACAAUAGGCCACUAGGAGACUUGAGGCAGAAUUCAAGGAUUGAGGAAGAGGCUGGGGCCUAACAUCAGACACCUCAUUCAGAAUUGCAGAAACAGCAAAAAUCACAAAGAUGGGACAAGACAGGAACUACCCAAAUCACUAAAGAGUGUUAGCUGAAAAUCCCAAUUCAAGAACUUGGCUUACUUUUUUAGUGGCAAGGACCUGGAAAGUGAGUGGGUUCCCAUCAGUUGAGGAAUGGCUGAAUACGUUAUGAAAAUUUGAAUAUAAUGGGAUAUUAUUACUUUAUAAAAAAUGAUCAGUUGGAUGAUUUCAGAAAUGCCUGGAGAGACUUACAUGAAUUGGAGCUAAGUGAAGGGUAUAGAAUCAAGCAAUAAGAUGAUUAUGUAAUGAUCAAUUCUGAUGGAUUUGGCUCUUUUCCACAAUGAGAUGAGUCAGGUCAACUGAUUUGUUGGAAGUUAGUUGUGAUGGACUUGUGAUGGAAAGAGCCAUCUGCAUCUAGAAAGAGGAUUAUAGGGACUUAAUCUAGAUCACAACAUAGUAUUUUCACCUUUCUGUUGUUGUUGAUUUCUUUUUUCUCAUUUUUUUCUCUCUGAUCUGAUUUCCUUGUGCAGCAUGAUAAUUGUGGAAAUAUGUUUAGAAGAAUUGCACAUGUUUAAUCUAUCUUGGAUUACUUACUGUCUAGGGGAGAGGGAUGGGGAAAAGGGAAGGAGAAAAAUUUGGAAUGUGGGGUUUUAUAGGGGUGAAUGUUGGAAACUAUCUUUGCAUGUAUUUUGAAAAUAAAAGGCUAUUAUUAAAAAACAAAAUAAACAAACAAAAAAAAAGAACUUGGCUUAGAAAUAUUUAUAAAGAAAAGAAAAUUCCAAAUGAAAAUGAAGAAAUACUAUGGAUAAGUGAAGCCCAAGAGAUAAAUUUAAAAAAUAUGAUUAACUCCACAUCUAGAGAAUAAAAAUCAAUUGACCACACAAGAAAUAAAAGAAUAGCUAGAAGAUAUGAAGCGGAGGAUAAAGAUUGAAAUUUGAGUUCUUAAAGAAAAAAAUGGGAAGGAAAACAAAGCUUAGAAUAUAAGAUGGGAAAUCUUACCUAAUUACAUACACUGAAAAUUAGAAAAACAGAAACCAAUGAUUAUGAAAAAAUAAAUAUUAAAGUACAAAGUGUCCAUACCUUUUGAUCCAGCAAUGCCACUAUUAAGUCUGUAUCCCAGGAAGAUCAUUAAAAAAGGAAAAGGACAUACACAAAAAUAUUUAUAGCAGCUCUUUUUGUGGUGGCAAAGAAUUGGAAAUUGAGGGGAUACUAAUCAAUUGGGGAAUGGUUGAACAGCUCUUCUCAGCACUAUAAUAAUCCAAGGCAGUGCCAAAAGAGUCAUGAUAGAAAUGAUAUCCCAUCCAAAGAAAAAACAGAGAAAAUCUGAAGGCCAAUUGAAGCUUAAUAUUUUCAUUUUCUUUGUUUUCUUCACAGAUUUUUCCUUUUGUUCUGUUUCUCUUUCACAAUGUGACUAAUGUGGAAAUAUGUUUAACCUGAUUGCACAUGUAUGACCUACAUCGGAUUAUUUGCCAUUGUAGGGAAGGGACAAAGAAAAAAACUGGAACUCGAUAUCUUAUUUUUAAAAAACUAAUGUUGAAAAAAGAAAGAAAUAUUAAAGCAAAGUCAAAAGAUCUUUAUUAUAAGAGGAAAACAGUAGGUAUCCUACUGUUAAAAGCAAUUGACAAAGAAACAAAUCAAUGAGAGAUAAUAUAAGAAUCAUCAGACUCCUUAAAAACCAUGGCCAAAAACCAAAUUCUCUUACCACAUUUCAAAAAUUCAUAAGACAAUUACCUAGAUGUAUUAGAAAGUAAAAAUAGAAGUAACCCACAAAACACCUUCUGAAAAUUAAAAAAGAAAAUUCUUAAUGAAAGUACCUAGGAGUGUCCUAAGCAGUGUCAAAAACUUUCUCAUCCAGAAAGAAUUAAAUUUUCUGUCCUCACUGAAAACACAUCUUUCAUUAUAAUGCUCAGAUAUGCACUAUAGAUAUUUGAGAUUCAAGCUAAUUUCCCGAUUCAAGCUAAUUUCCCUUUCUAGUAUAAUGCAUUGUAGGAAUUUCUUUUAUUUCUUGUCAUUUGAUCUAUUUGUCAUAUGUAAAUGUCUUCUUCCUGACUGCUUUCAAAAUUCUCUAGUUGCUAAUAAUAUUCUAGAACUUGGUAACAACUAUUCUAACCCUAAAUUACAUUUUAGAGCUCUAUUUCUUGAUGUUCUCUGGCAUCUACUGAGUUAUAUACUGAUCUCUGAGUCUCCUAUUACAGUUCAUUGUCCUUUUUUUUGCUUUUUUAAGCUGGCUCUUUUUUUCCCAGACUGGAAGGGCACAUUUAUGGACUGCUGAGCUUUGACCAC
rnacentral:lncRNA from 1 species